AAGAGACAGCAGUCGCCGCGGUAAUGCGUAGGGUGCAAGCGUUAAUCGGAAUUACUGGGCGUAAAGCGUGCGCAGGCGGUUUGUUAAGACAGAUGUGAAAUCCCCGGGCUCAACCUGGGAACUGCAUUUGUGACUGGCAAGCUAGAGUGUGGCAGAGGGGGGUGGAAUUCCGCGUGUAGCAGUGAAAUGCGUAGAUAUGCGGAGGAACACCGAUGGCGAAGGCAGCCCCCUGGGCCAACACUGACGCUCAUGCACGAAAGCGUGGGGAGCAAACAGGAUUAGAGACCCCUGUAGUCCCUGUCUCUUAUAC
rnacentral:rRNA from 1 species